UGAAGACCUGGCGUUUCCAAUUCCUCCAUAAGUACUGAAAACCCAGAAUUUCUAAACGAUUUAGGAGGCAUGUGAGAAAUUAUCUUAACCCCUGUGCGGUGAAUGAUUCAAUAAAAACAAGGCAAACCGGAGAGGAAAAGUGAAAACAAAGAUGGCGAACACUUGGACACAAUUCCAACCAUGACAAAAUCAACCUUUACCACCAGGCUGGGAGACUAAGUAUGAUGGCAACAUCGGAAGAUACUACUUUAUUGAUCACACUACAAACAAGACAACAUGGGAGGACCCCAGGUUAAAGAGACCAGAGGCAAUUCCUUUGACUCAGUUUAAGGUUUUUGCUCCACCUGAUCAUGGUAGCACUUCUAAUUGCCUUCACUGACUAAACAUAGUGUUGAAUACAAAUUGUAUUCAAGCUCAAAUAUGUAUUUAUACGAGUUCCUUUGUGGAAGUGAAAUUUAUGUAGAGCUGCUAAAACUACCAGAAAAAGUCAGAGUCCAGAAUUCAUAGCAUGUCUAAAAGCAGAACAGGAUAUUGGAGUAUGAAAGAAUGGUUUCAAAUAUUGAGCGAAAGUUAGGGAGUCAUUUCUGGUAGGGCUGAGACAUUGGGGCACAGGGAAACCAAGCAAAGACAAAUUCUUGAGAAGAGACCACUAUAAAGACUUUGACCUUUGGCAUCAAACUGAUGGAAUGCAAUUUGGACAAGAAGUUCGCUCUGGUGGCAAACAGUUGUCUUCAAUAAUCAACUUCCUGUUGUCAAUAAUUGCAACAUUCACAUUUGGUUACAUUGCAUCACAGUACGCUUUUCCUUCC